rnacentral:rRNA from 1 species
AGGCGUGAUGACGAGGCACUACGGUGCUGAAGCAACAAAUGCCC